AUACGGAGGGUGCAAGCGUUGUUCGGAUUUACUGGGCGUAAAGGGCGUGUAGGCGGGUGCGCAAGCUGGGGGUGAAAGGCCAGGGCUCAACCCUGGAGUAUCUCCCAGAACUGCGCGUCUAGAGAAAGUCAGAGGCAGGUGGAAUUCCAGGUGUAGAGGUGAAAUUCGUAGAGAGCUGGAGGAACAUCGGCGGCGAAGGCGGCCUGCUGGGGCCACUCUGACGCUGAGGCGCGAAAGCGUGGGUAGCAAACAGGAUUAGAAACCCCGGUAGUCC
rnacentral:rRNA from 1 species